GCCAGGCGUGGUGGCGCACACCUGUAAUCCCAGCUACUUGGGAGGCUGAGGCAGGAGAAUUGCUUGAACCCAGGAAGCGGAGGUUGCAGUGAGCUGAGAUCACACCACUACAUUCCAGCCUGGGUGACAGAGUAAGACUCUGUCUCAA
ensembl:misc_RNA Metazoa_SRP Metazoan signal recognition particle RNA